CGAGCUAGCCAGGAGGAAGAGAUAAGCCCAAAGUCUGGGAUUUAUUCUUCUCCUUUCUCCUUUUCCUUUCUGCUCCAAACAGGCGAAUCUCUUUCUCUCUCUUUUCCUUUCCAACCUGGGACCCUUGGUGGGCAGCACCUAAACAUGGAAGCAACUGCAGGUUUCUGGCCAUGGUCAGUGAAACUAAGGGGUUUCCACAGGCAAAGCCCAACCACCACUGCCCAAUUUGCUUAAGGAAUCUGGGUCUUUUUCAUUUUUUUACUCUUCUUUUUUUUUUUUUUUUUCCGUCUUUCAAUGGCUGUUUCCUAGUAGCUCCUUGGAAACUGAGGACAAUUGGCUGAGGUCACUCCCCAGUGUUGCCUGAAGGCCUAGGAACAAAUGGGAAUAAUUGCCCUACCCAGAAGGGGAAAGGACUUUUUAAAAAUCUUUUCCACACCUGGUCCCUGAUUCCUAUGUGUGGUGCAGUUUGGAGCAAACUACCUGUUUCAGGUGACUCAAACUUUCUUUUCUUAUGCUAAAUUCUUCACUUCCCCUAUUCAACUGGCUAAGGGCAAAGGAAACCCACCAAGCCUCCAGUUCCUGUCAUUAAAGUUUAUGGAAUGGGAUAAGUUAUGGAAUGGGAUUUGAUAAGCGUGGCCUUAUCAAAUUAUAAGGAUGCUAAAAGUCGAGUUUUACACCCAGGAAACAGCUCACAGUAGGCUCUGGAGGGAAUGCAUGCAAAGUGGCACCGGUGCCCACCUAAGGCCAAGAGACAUCUGGAACUCUUAAGAUUGAACCCCACAGGAGGACACUCGGAGGGGAUCAUCCGGAACUCAAACUUUCCAAAGAAGAUGCUCUCUGCAGAGAGACCAUCGAGCUUCAGAUGAUCACUCAACAAAGGCUCCAGCAAGUUCCAGGUGAAGACACCACCCCUGGCCAUCAAGGAGCUACCCUGCCUCCACUAGACACAGCAGGAAGCCAUUGGCUGCUCUUUGCAAGGAAUCCUUAGACAGACCUCUGGGAGGAAUCUGACUACUGUUUUCCCCAAAACAAUACGCCAUCAGCAGGAAGCGGCUAAGACCAGUCAUCAUCCAUAUUUUAAAGGCAGUUACACGUACUUCUUCAGAGGGGGAAAAUGAUAUGGAAGGGAGGAAGGGAAUUGCUGGGAAGGGAAGGGCAUGGUCCCUUUAA
rnacentral:lncRNA from 1 species